GUGACGUCGGAUGGGGAGGAGAGGUCAACAGCGCCGAGAGAGGUAAGUGGCUCAAGGGGUUUUAACCCCUUCAGCGCCACGGAAGGGGGACCGAGGGCAAUAUAGUGUCAGGAAAACUGCUUUGUUUUCCUGACACUAUAGUGAUCCUUUAACUAUGUAGUUGUGCAAGAAUCUCAUAUGUGUCAAUACAGUUGCUAGCUUUGCUCUUUGUGGCAAAACCAUUCUGUUUAACAGACACUAGUAUUCAUUGUAGUAUUUCAAUUUGGAAAAACAAUACACAGUUUUAAAAUGUUUAGGCCUUUUGCCCUGUAGUUUACUACAUUAUUUACUUGAAAUUCUUUCAGUGUUCUUCACAAUGACAGGCUAGAUGGCACAUGCAAUCUGCAACCUUAGAAGCUGCCAUUGCAAUGCAACACUCAGAUUCUAAUUUACAUUUUGUGCACCUCUUCU